rnacentral:piRNA from 1 species
UUGAGACAGAACAAGGAACCAAGACA